GGAUUCCUACGGGACGCAGCAGUGAGGAAUAUUGGUCAAUGGCCGGAAGGCUGAACCAGCCAAGUCGCGUGAAGGACGAAGGUGCCAAGCAUUGUAAACUUCUUUUGUCAAGGGACAAAAUCAGGCUCGAGAGCCUGACCGAGGGUACUUGAAGAAAAAGCAUCGGCUAACUCCGUGCCAGCAGCCGCGGUAAUACGGAGGAUGCGAGCGUUAUCCGGAUUUAUUGGGUUUAAAGGGUGCGUAGGCGGGCUGUUAAGUAGGCGGUAAAAGACCGGGGCUCAACCCCGGC
rnacentral:rRNA from 1 species